AUUGAACGCUGGCGGCAUGCUUUACACAUGCAAGUCGAACGGUAACAGGCCUUCGGGUGCUGACGAGUGGCGAACGGGUGAGUAAUGCAUCGGAACGUACCCAGAGGUUGGGGAUAACGCAGCGAAAGCUGUGCUAAUACCGCAUGUGAUCUGAGGAUGAAAGCGGGGGACCGAGCAGCAAUGUUUGGCCUCGCGCCUUUGGAGCGGCCGAUGUCGGAUUAGCUAGUUGGUGGGGUAAAGGCCUACCAAGGCGACGAUCCGUAGCUGGUCUGAGAGGACGACCAGCCACACUGGAACUGAGACACGGCCCAGACUCCUACGGGAGGCAGCAGUGGGGAAUUUUGGACAAUGGGCGCAAGCCUGAUCCAGCAAUGCCGCGUGCGGGAAGAAGGCCUUCGGGUUGUAAACCGCUUUUGGCAGGAACGAAACGGUGUCCGCUAAUACCGGGCGCUAAUGACGGUACCUGCAGAAUAAGCACCGGCUAACUACGUG
rnacentral:rRNA from 1 species